ACCUUUUUAUUCACUUUUAGAGUGAUAGAGCGAGCUGGAUAGUUGGUAGUGACACGCGGGGUGGCAAAAAAAGCUCAUCUUCGUUUCCUUUGACACGACUCUCCAAUUUAAAGCUCAAUUCAACUCGGUUUCUUGUGUCGUGGUCGCAAAAGGUAGCGUGGGCUCUCCGUGGACCACGGGGCCCUAAACAACGUUAUGACGGCCUGGAUAAUGGUGUUCAUAUCCUCUCCAACCAUUGCUGAGUUCAGUUCUCAACUUCUUCUAAAUGCAAAUGCUCUCUCUACGCGAUUAGUUUCAAAAAGAGCUUGUAAUCAAAUCACUCGCUCAUCUUCUUAGAUGGAGAGGAGGGAGGCCUUGGGCUGAGACACAGGAUCUGUGGGCAUUUCACACCCUCAUCACAUCUUCCUUUUGAAUGGAAUUGUCAUGGGUGAGCAUAUAUGCGUGGAUGUGCUGUGCUAUUGGCGUACUACGUACCAUGUGGACCUUCUUCCAUCCACUUCUUUCAAAGCCAUCAUCGUUCAAGAGUGCAUGCUCACGCCAAAAAAGCCCGAUUUCGGUGUUGGAAAAGAUUCUAUAUCAAAUGAUGCUGCAGGCAGGUGGUGUAUGCAAAAUAAGGCAAAGCUUUGGAUCAGCUGGCACUUCUAGUUCUACCACUUUCAGGCCAUCAAGUUCGCCUCAUGAUAUGGACCUCUUCAAACCAAUUUUGAGCAAUAAUUAUUGGCAAGCAUUUUUCAAAUUGAACACCCAAACUAAAACAGGAGACACAAAGUAUUGUAAAUAAUUACGUGUGUUUUAAGGUACAGUAUAAUAUGUAUUUUUUAGAACUGCACAUCAAUAUGUCACCAAAAACAAACUGAAUUCCCUUAGUCCCCGGAUUUCAGAAAAGUUCCCCAACAUACACAUUUGCAUUUUUCUUUAACCCUGUUCCAUAAAACGGAUGC